rnacentral:lncRNA from 1 species
GCACAGGAACGUGAACCUUAGGCAACACAACACACCCAUCAACAAACAUCACUAUCCAUUUCCGUUCAAGGAUGCAAUGUACGAGAGCUUUGUAGAACAAGAUGUGGAGGAGACAACCCACUAUGCCGUGGGUUCCCAUGAAGGUUGAUCAAGGUGUUCAUCGUCCGACUGGAAGACGUUAAAGCAAGCGCUUUAAGGGAGGCAACCCAUUUAUUCUGCUUGAUUGCCAAUUUUAUUACUUGUUUAAUUAUUUUUGGUUGUGACUUUCUAUUUUGAAACAUUAACAAAUAUGCAAAGGAU